CGCCCCUGGUGGGACUUGAGACUUCAACCCAAAAUCUUUGGCUUCGGAGGCCAACGCCUUAUCCAUUAGGCCACAAGAGC